rnacentral:lncRNA from 1 species
GCGAUUAUGAUUGAGGAUGGUGAUGGUGGAGGUAGGUGGUGAUAGUUAAUGAUGGCGGGUGGUGGUAGUAAUUGUGACUGAGGAAGGUGAUGGGUGGGUGGUGGUAGGUAAUAAUGAUGGGCAGUGUCGACCGUGGUUGUUUAUGGUGAUGGGGUGGUCAUUUAUGGUAAUUGAGGUGGAUAAGUGUUGAAUGUGGAUGAAAAUGAUGGUGGUGGAAGUGGUGGGGACAGUGGGUGGUGAUGGUCGAUAAUGGUGGCAACUAUGAUUUAGGAUGACGGUGGCAUGGUAGUGGUGGAG